UUCCGGUUGAUCCUGCCGGAGGUCACUGCUAUUGGGAUUCGACUAAGCCAUGCGAGUCGAGAGGGUUCGGCCCUCGGCUGACGGCUCAGUAACACGUGGAUAAUCUGCCCUUAGGUGGAGGAUACCCUCGGGAAACUGAGAAUAAUACUCCAUAGGUCUAGGAUGCUGGAAUGCAUCUAGACUGAAAACUCCGGUGCCUAAGGAUGAGUCUGCGGACUAUCAGGUUGUAGUCAGGGUAAAGACCUGACUAGCCUACGACGGAUACGGGUUGUGAGAGCAAUAACCCGGAGAUGAUAUCUGAGACACGAUAUCAGGCCCUACGGGGCGCAGCAGGCGCGAAAACUUCACACUGUGCGAAAGCACGAUGAGGGAAUCCCAAGUGCCAGCUCGUAAGAGUUGGCUGUUUUUCUGUCUAAAACACAGAGAGAGUAAGAGCUGGGUAAGACGGGUGCCAGCCGCCGCGGUAAUACCUGCAGCUCGAGUGGUGACCGUUAUUAUUGGGCCUAAAACGUCCGUAGCCGGUUUAGUAAAUGCCUGGGUAAAUCGUGUAGCUUAACUAUACGAAUUCCGGGUAGACUGCUAAACUUGAGACCGGGAGAGGCUAGAGGUACUCCUGGGGUAGAGGUGAAAUUCUGUAAUCCUGGGGGGACCACCAGUGGCGAAGGCGUCUAGCUAGAACGGAUCUGACGGUGAGGGACGAAGCCCUGGGGCGCAAACCGGAUUAGAUACCCGGGUAGUCCAGGGUGUAAACGCUGCUUGCUUGAUGUUAGUCGGGCUCCGAGCCCGAUUAGUGUCGGAGAGAAGUUGUUAAGCAAGCUGCCUGGGAAGUACGGUCGCAAGACUGAAACUUAAAGGAAUUGGCGGGGGAGCACAGCAACCGGGUGGAGCGUGCGGUUUAAUUGGAAUCAACGCCGG
rnacentral:rRNA from 1 species